CAAGUCGAACGCGAAAGUCCCCUUCGGGGGACGAGUAGAGUGGCGUCCGGGUGAGUAACACGUGAGUAAUUUGCCUUCGGGUGGGGAAUAACAGCCGGAAACGGCUGCUAAUACCGCAUGAUGCAGCGGCACCUCAUGGUGACAGUUGUUAAAGCGGGGGAUCGCAAGACCUCGCGCCUGAAGAGAAGCUCGCGGCAGAUUAGCUAGUUGGUAGGGUAACGGCCUACCAAGGCUACGAUCUGUAGCCGGCCUGAGAGGGCGGUCGGCCACACUGACACUGACACACGGGUCAGACUCCUACGGGAGGCAGCAGUCGGGAAUUUUGGGCAAUGGGCGAAAGCCUGACCCAGCAACGCCGCGUGAAGGAUGAAGUUUUUCGGAAUGUAAACUUCACAAGAAUGGGAAGAAUAAGUGGGGGCUAAUACCCCCCAUGAUGACGGUACCAUUUGUAAGCUCCGGCUAACUCCGUGCCAGCAGCCGCGGUAAUACGGGGGGAGCAAGCGUUGUUCGGAUUUACUGGGCGUAAAGGGCGCGUAGGCGGCGCAACAAGUCAGUUGUGAAAUCUCUGGGCUUAACCCAGAGCGGUCAACUGAUACUGUCGUGCUAGAGUGCGGAAGGGGCAACUGGAAUUCUCGGUGUAGCGGUGAAAUGCGUAGAUAUCGAGAGGAACACCUGCGGCGAAGGCGGGUUGCUGGGCCGACACUGACGCUGAGGCGCGAAAGCUAGGGGAGCGAACGGGAUUAGAUACCCCGGUAGUCCUAGCCUUAAACGAUGGAUGCUUGGUGUCCGGGGUUAGAUAGUCCCCGGGUGCCGUCGCUAAC
rnacentral:rRNA from 1 species